UCCUACGGAGGCAGCAGUGGGGAAUAUUGGACAAUGGGGGGAACCCUGAUCCAGCCAUGCCGCGUGUGUGAAGAAGGCCUUUUGGUUGUAAAGCACUUUAAGCGAGGAGGAGGCUACCGAGAUUAAUACUCUUGGAUAGUGGACGUUACUCGCAGAAUAAGCACCGGCUAACUCUGUGCCAGCAGCCGCGGUAAUACAGAGGGUGCGAGCGUUAAUCGGAUUUACUGGGCGUAAAGCGUACGUAGGUGGUCUUUUAAGUCGGAUGUGAAAUCCCUGAGCUUAACUUAGGAAUUGCAUUCGAUACUGGGAGACUAGAGUAUGGGAGAGGAUGGUAGAAUUCCAGGUGUAGCGGUGAAAUGCGUAGAGAUCUGGAGGAAUACCGAUGGCGAAGGCAGCCAUCUGGCCUAAUACUGACACUGAGGUACGAAAGCAUGGGGAGCAAACAGGAUUAGAUACCCUGGUAGUCC
rnacentral:rRNA from 1 species